rnacentral:lncRNA from 1 species
UCUGGGAGUGCUAGCUCAUGAGGACACCAUCCUUUGACUGAUCUAAGAAGAAACAUAAUGAAGAUGAAGAAUAAGAAGACCCUCUCCUUUUCUUCUUGGAUCCAUGCAUCUGAUCUCUACAAUAGAGAUCAAGAGAAGAACCCUUUCUUCUCAAUUUCUCACACAUAAGAGAGAACCUUUCUCUCUUCCUUUCACAAGAAUUUUUUUUUUCUAAUUUUUUAUGAUAAAAAUUAGAUCUAAUCUAAUUUUUUAUGCUAAAAAUAAUAUAAAAUCUUGAGAUC